CGUGGCUCAGGAUGAACGCUGGCGGCGUGCCUAAUACAUGCAAGUCGAACGCUUUGUGGUUCAACUGAUUUGAAGAGCUUGCUCAGAUAUGACGAUGGACAUUGCAAAGAGUGGCGAACGGGUGAGUAACACGUGGGAAACCUACCUCUUAGCAGGGGAUAACAUUUGGAAACAGAUGCUAAUACCGUAUAACAAUGACAACCGCAUGGUUGUUAUUUAAAAGAUGGUUCUGCUAUCACUAAGAGAUGGUCCCGCGGUGCAUUAGCUAGUUGGUAAGGUAAUGGCUUACCAAGGCGAUGAUGCAUAGCCGAGUUGAGAGACUGAUCGGCCACAAUGGGACUGAGACACGGCCCAUACUCCUACGGGAGGCAGCAGUAGGGAAUCUUCCACAAUGGGCGAAAGCCUGAUGGAGCAACGCCGCGUGUGUGAUGAAGGGUUUCGGCUCGUAAAACACUGUUGUAAGAGAAGAAUGACAUUGAGAGUAACUGUUCAAUGUGUGACGGUAUCUUACCAGAAAGGAACGGCUAAAUACGUGCCAGCAGCCGCGGUAAUACGUAUGUUCCAAGCGUUAUCCGGAUUUAUUGGGCGUAAAGCGAGCGCAGACGGUUAUUUAAGUCUGAAGUGAAAGCCCUCAGCUCAACUGAGGAAUUGCUUUGGAAACUGGAUGACUUGAGUGCAGUAGAGGAAAGUGGAACUCCAUU
rnacentral:rRNA from 1 species